GAUGAACGCUAGCGACAGGCCUAACACAUGCAAGUCGAGGGGUAUAAGUAGCUUGCUACUUAGAGACCGGCGCACGGGUGAGUAACGCGUAUGCAACCUACCUUUUACUGGGGGAUAGCCCAAAGAAAUUUGGAUUAAUACCGCAUAAUAUAUUUGAAUCGCAUGGUUUGAAUAUUAAAACUUCGGUGGUAAAAGAUGGGCAUGCGUAGCAUUAGUUUGUUGGUGAGGUAACGGCUCACCAAGACUAUGAUGCUUAGGGGGUCUGAGAGGAUAGUCCCCCACACUGGUACUGAGACACGGACCAGACUCCUACGGGAGGCAGCAGUGAGGAAUAUUGGUCAAUGGGCGCAAGCCUGAACCAGCCAUGUCGCGUGCAGGAUGACGGCCCUAUGGGUUGUAAACUGCUUUUUUACAGGAAUAAACUUUA
rnacentral:rRNA from 1 species